rnacentral:rRNA from 1 species
UACGUAGGGUGCGAGCGUUAAUCGGAAUUACUGGGCGUAAAGCGUGCGCAGGCGGCUUUGCAAGUCAGAUGUGAAAUCCCCGGGCUCAACCUGGGAACUGCAUUUGUGACUGCAUGGCUAGAGUACGGUAGAGGGGGAUGGAAUUCCGCGUGUAGCAGUGAAAUGCGUAGAGAUGUGGAGGAACACCGAUGGCGAAGGCAGCCCCCUGGGUUAACACUGACGCUCAGGCACGAAAGCGUGGGGAGCAAACGGG